rnacentral:lncRNA from 1 species
GGUGCUGCGAGGGCUACGUUCAGCGCACGCGCACGCACGCGCGACGUCACCCUCCCCACGAAGGGGGUAAAAAAGUCCCCCGCGUUCCCAGCUUGGGGUGGUUUGCGAACAGAGUGACCAGCCGUUUGGUAAAAGUUAAAUAACGAACUUUCGUUAAAGGAGCUAGUCAUCCAGGUCGGGUCUUGAAGGAUGGUCGAUUUCUCCAGGAAUGAGGAUCUUUGAAAGCAACUCGGCGCCUUCAAAGCACUUGGUGAAACCUAGCCUAAAGCGUUGUCCCACCAUGCUCUGCGGCGAUAACGGCCUUUGGCGGGAAAGAGUCUCGGAGGCGGGGCCAAAGGGGGACGGCCCGGGCGGUUGCUCCGGAAACCCGGGUAUCUUCGUAGGGUGCGUCUAAUCCAGAGCUGAGUUGCGGGUGAUUGAACGGAGAGCUGGGGCGUUGGUUUGUCUUCCCGCCCCUGCUGCGAAUAGACCGUGGCUGCUUAGACAGAUGUGUCUAAUUUAGCGAAACCGAUUUAGAUUCCUUAAUCCUCUUCAUUAAGUACCGUUCCGCCUUCUCGUCAGAACUUUGCAUAGCUCGGGUCAGCACUCCUAGUGCUAGUCGCAGUGGGUCCGUAUCCCGACCGGCAACGUGGUACCCGCCAACCAGAAGGGGUAACACCGUACCGCCUAUGGGACCCACACCUUUUUAUCUCUUGUUAGUCGCCUGUCCGUGGGACUAGCGCAGAAUGCCUGCAGAAUGAAUCGUUUCUGUUGUUUCCUUUCAAAGAACGAGAAGGAAGAAAGGGUGCGUGUGUGCAGUCCUUUUUUCAAAAGUUUUCCCUAAAAGUUACUGAUACACCAGGUUUUGAAAAUACCGGUCCUCUCAGGUAAUAAAAUGGAGCAAAAUGGAUGUGAGAACCGUAACCACUAGAUACCGCGGUUGCUAUUCAGGACUGUGAUCCUGUUUGCCUGCGGCAUUGGGAGAUAACAUUUUACAUUUUUUUUCGACGUCUGAAAUCUGGAUUUUUAUGUGAAAUCCUGGGAUUUUUAAACGUCGCUAAUGAAUUAAAAUUCAAAUCAGGCUGGGCGCGGUGGCUCACGCCAGCACUUUGGGAGGCCGAGGCGGUUGGAUCACUUGAGGUCAGGAAUUCGAGACCAGCCUGGCCAACAUGGUGAAAUCCCGUCUCUACUGAAAAAACAAAAAAUUAGCCGGGCUUGGUGGCAGGCGCCUGUAAUCCACUCUACGCGGGAGGCUGAGGCAGGAGAAUCGCUAGAACCCUGGAGGCGGAGGUUGCAGUGAGCUGAGAUGGCGCCAUUGCACUGCAGCCUGGGCUACAGAGUGAGACUCCUCCAAAAAAAAAAAAAAGGAGGGGGAAACAACAACAAAUUAAAAUCAAACCCUGCAGUCAUAAAUUUGCCAUAACAGAUCUACACACUGAAUUUAAGGGAUAAUUUUCUUCAUGUUAUUUAUUUACAGUAGUCCCUUUCCGCAAGGAUGUGAGGCAACUUACAGAGAUACCAUAAAACAUGAAAACUAGAUGAGGCUGGGCGUGGUGGCUCACUCCUGUAAUCCCAGCACUUUGGGAGGCCGAGGCGGGCGGAUCACCUGAGGUCAGGAGUCGGAGACCAACAUGUCGAAACCCGUAUCUUCUAAAAAUACAAAACAUUAGCUGGGUAUGGUGGCGCGUGCCUGUAAUCCCAGCUACUCGGUAGGGUGAGACAGGACAAUCUCUUGAACCCUUAGGAGGUGGAGGCUGCAGUGAGCGGAAAUCACGCCACUGCACUCCAGCCUGGGUGACAGAACAAGACUCCAUCUCACACACACACAAAAAAAAUGCUAGAGUAAGAAAUCAGAGGAAUGGGAAAAUGAGGGGUGGAUUAAAUGAAAUACGCAUAAAUUACUAUACAAAAUGCCUGCAGUGAAAGCCCGUUGAAUUUGUUGAGAUAGAUUGCAAAUUUUACUUUAGUCUUCCCAGAAGUCACGGUAAAGAAGGGUACAGAAGUAUUGUGUAUUCAAAAUCCAAAGUGCCUUUGGGAUAAAAGUAAAUAGGUCAUUCAGGAGAAGGACAUGUUUUCUUAAUUCUAAAAGCUGAUGAAAUAUAUUUUACAAAUGUUUCUCGGUGACCCCAAAAUACAAAUUCAAUUUGAAAUGAGCAGGGAUGCUUGGUCUUGUGGCCGUAGAUCCUCGGUAUAUCUACAGAUGACCUUUGGUAAUCCUUGAGCUUUCUGUAAUAUUUUCGAAAAUUAUAUGCAUGUGUGCAUGUACAAAAUUAUAUGCAUGUGUGUACUUUUUUCUGGGAAGAGGAUUUGGAAUUUUAAUCAACUUCUUAAAGGAGUCCAUAGAUCCCAAAAGGAAAAAGAACUUCUGAAAUUUGUCAAGGGAAGGAUAGAUUGCCUAUUCUUCAGACCAUCCUUUAAGUAUAUAUAUAGAUGUGUGUUUGUGUGUGUGUGUGUAUAUAUAUAUAUAUAUAUAUAUAUAUUUUUUUUUUUUUUUUGAGACAGAGUUGCCCUCUGUCACCCAGGCUGGAGUGCAAUGGCAUGAUCUCAGCUCAGUGCAACCUCUGCUUCCCUGGCCUAAGUCAUUCUUGUGCCUCAGCCUUCCGAGUAGCUGGAAUUACAGACAUGUGCCACGAUGCCCAGCUAAUUUUUGUAUUUUUGGUAGCUGGGAUUACAGGCAUGAGCCACCACGUCCAGCUAAUUUUUGUAUUUUUAGUAGAGACGGGGUUUCGUCAUGUUGGCCAUGCUGGUCUCGAACUCCUGGCCUCAAGUGAUCCUCCGGCCUUGGCCUCCCAAAGUAGUGGGAUUACAGGCAUGAGCCCCUGCACCUGGCCGGCUUUUUUUUUUUUUUUUUUUUUUUUUUUUGAGACAGGGUCUUGCUCUUUCACUCAGGCUGGAAUGCAGUGGUGCAAUCACAGCUCACUGCAGCCUCGACCUCCUGGACCCAAGCGAUUCUCCCACCUCAGUGUCCUUCGUAGCUGAGACUACAGGUAUGCAUCACCACUUCAGACUGAUUUUUGUAUUUUUUGUAGCGAUGGGGUCUCGCCAUGUUGCCCAGGCUGCUUUUGAACUCCUGAAGUCAAGCGAUCCUUCCAUCUCGGCCUCCCAAAGUGGGGGGAUUACAGGCAUGAGCCAUUGUGCCUGGCCAGAGCCUGAUAUGUUUUUAAAUGAGAAGGUGACCAAAAAAGAUACUAUUUCAACAAAUCUACUGUUUCUAGCAUUGUUCCAUUAAGUGAAUGGCAGAAAAGAGGAGAGUUUUUAAAAACUUGCAGCCUGUUGAUUCUUUCAUUCAACAGUUAUUUGCUGAACACAUUUUCUUUCUGUUCUUUUAUACAUCAGUUUAAAUUUAUGCAGGCAAAGCUUCUGUUAAUCAUAAGUCAAUGAUAACUGAAGUGAUAACUGAAAUCAGUAGUUUAUAAUUGGAUAGUUCAUUUUAAGAAGGGAUGAGACAAUACACAUAGGUACUUUUAAUUUCAAGGUAAUUUCAUUCCAGAAAAAUAUAAUUGAAUUUGCUUUUUGUUUGUUUGUUUGAGGUGGAGUCUCGCUCUGU